rnacentral:rRNA from 1 species
AUACGAAGGGGGCUAGCGUUGCUCGGAAUUACUGGGCGUAAAGGGCGCGUAGGCGGACAGUUAAGUCAGAGGUGAAAGCCCAGGGCUCAACCCUGGAAUUGCCUUUGAUACUGGCUGUCUUGAGUGCGGGAGAGGUGUGUGGAACUCCGAGUGUAGAGGUGAAAUUCGUAGAUAUUCGGAAGAACACCAGUGGCGAAGGCGACACACUGGCCCGUAACUGACGCUGAGGCGCGAAAGCGUGGGGAGCAAACAGGA